rnacentral:lncRNA from 1 species
GAGGCUCCAACAGUUCAUCUCCUUAAGUUAUGUUCAUUUGCUUAGGUCCGAGGCUCUUAUGAUCAUUUGCUUAAGUCCAAGGAGUUAUGUUCAUUUGCUUAAGUCCGAGGCUCCAACAGUUCAUCUCCUUAAGUUAUGUUCAUUCACUUUAGUCCGAGGCUUAUACAGUUGACUGAUUAAUGCCAAGGAACCAAGUUAAAGUUAUUUAGUUCGUGCUCUAAUCAACUUCUGGUUCGCUUGCUUAACGAGGCACAAAAACUUGGAUAAAGAACAACAAUUAGUGAAGAAAAACAUUAUAUUAAUAUUCAAAAGGAAUUACAAAGGAGGGCCUCUGGCCAUUACACAAAGUACUGAAAAGGAAAACCUAAUCUAAGCCUAGCUAGCUGGAGGAGGCGCCUCAGACCUUGGGGGUUCGGCAACUUGGGCAUCAGUAGUUGCUUCCUCUGCCUCAGCACUUGGGGCUUCAGCAUCAGCUGCCUCGUCAGCUUGCACCUCCUCAGCUGGGGUCUGAGGAACUUCAUCCACAAAUUCGGACCUAAGUUGUGCCAGGUCCAAGUUGGGAUAAAGCUCCUCUGCCCUCUCCAGCACUUCGGCAUAGGCGAAGUUCCUCCAGUACNNN